rnacentral:lncRNA from 1 species
AUUCUCCAUAACCAUCGGAAAGGAAGAGGCCCAGGCAGCGCUCCACAUCCUGACCCUAGCUUUUAACACCAUCGUUUUGGGGAGAGGAGAGGAGGAACGCACCCACAGUGAGGUCUCCACCCAACACUUCUCCGACCCCAGCUUCAGCCUGGCGCACCUUCCUUCCCAAACCCGCCUCUCCCGCCUCGGAGACCCCCUCCUCCUCCCUGCCACCAAAGGCCACGCAGCCCCCAUCUAGCCAGUCCUCACGGACCCUGGACCAAGACGCGCCUCCUGGAGGCCGAGACUGCCCGAAACCCGGCCCCUGCGUCCACCGGGAGCGCCACACUCUGGCAGCUGACCGGCGGCUGUCGCCGGGGGUAAGGUUACCGCUCCGCUUCCGCGGCUGGCCUGCGACCCGGCCACCUGCAGGGCCUGGCAGGCGCCCGAACUCAUCCCCUUCCCGCGGCCCGCCCCGG